AAAUGAAUAGACGGGGGCCCGCACAAGCGGAGGAACAUGUGGUUUAAUUCGAUGAUACGCGAGGAACCUUACCCGGGCUUGAAAUGCUUCUGACCGACCAAGAAAUUGGUUUUCUAGCAAUAGCAGAAGUGUAGGUGCUGCAUGGUUGUCGUCAGCUCGUGCCGUGAGGUGUCGGCUUAAGUGCCAUAACGAGCGCAACCCUCAUCAUUAGUUACUAACAGGUUACGCUGAGGACUCUAAUGAGACUGCCAUCGUAAGAUGCGAGGAAGGUGGGGAUGACGUCAAAUCAGCACGGCCCUUACGUCCGGGGCGACACACGUGUUACAAUGGGUGGUACAAAGGGCUGCUAUUGGGUGACCAUGUGCAAAUCUCAAAAACCAUUCUCAGUUCGGAUUGGAGUCUGCAACUCGACUCUAUGAAGCUGGAUUCGCUAGUAAUCGUAUAUCAGCCAUGAUACGGUGAAUACGUUCCCGGGCCUUGUACACACCGCCCGU
rnacentral:rRNA from 1 species